UCCCACAUUCAAAGAACGACAAGUGGUGAGGUACUAACCAAGGCGCGUCUAUUGCUGGUUGAAAACUAUUUCCAAACCCUCUCUUAGGCUUGGGGUCUCUUCAAGCCUUCGAGAAUUUCUGGAAGGACUCCCUUUGGGGUAAAGUC